rnacentral:rRNA from 1 species
GAUGAACGCNUAGCUACAGGCUUAACACAUGCAAGUCGAGGGGCAGCAUUUCAUUUUGCUUGCAAAGUGAAGAUGGCGACCGGCGCACGGGUGAGUAACACGUAUCCAACCUGCCGAUAACUCGGGGAUAGCCUUUCGAAAGAAAGAUUAAUAUCCGAUGACAUAUCAAUCCCGCAUGAGAUUGAUAUUAAAGAAUUUCGGUUAUCGAUGGGGAUGCGUUCCAUUAGUUUGUUGGCGGGGUAACGGCCCACCAAGACUACGAUGGAUAGGGGUUCUGAGAGGAAGGUCCCCCACAUUGGAACUGAGACACGGUCCAAACUCCUACGGGAGGCAGCAGUGAGGAAUAUUGGUCAAUGGACGUAAGUCUGAACCAGCCAAGUAGCGUGAAGGAUGACUGCCCUAUGGGUUGUAAACUUCUUUUAUAUGGGAAUAAAGUAUUCCACGUGUGGAAUUUUGUAUGUACCAUAUGAAUAAGGAUCGGCUAACUCCGUGCCAGCAGCCGCGGUAAUACGGAGGAUCCGAGCGUUAUCCGGAUUUAUUGGGUUUAAAGGGAGCGUAGGUGGAUUGUUAAGUCAGUUGUGAAAGUUUGCGGCUCAACCGUAAAAUUGCAGUUGAAACUGGCAGUCUUGAGUACAGUAGAGGUGGGCGGAAUUCGUGGUGUAGCGGUGAAAUGCUUAGAUAUCACGAAG